AGGCUGUCACUGGCUCGGCCAGCAUUUAUUGCUGCGUUUACCCAGAGGGCAGUUAAGAGUCAACCACGUUGCUAUAGGUCUGGAGUCCCAUGCAGACCAGACCAGAUCCCAGUGAUCGGUGCCAAAGCCCCAUUGCCUGUGGAGAAGGUGAUGUUUGACUUCCUGUACAGCUGCAGUUCGUGUGGUGAAGGUGCUCCCACAAUGUGGUUGGGGAUCUGCACUGGAACCCUUCUGUUUGCGGGACAAAUAUAUAUAAGUGACAUGGAUUAAAAUCUAAUUUGGUCAACACAUCCAUGAACCAAGCAAUGAUUCCUCAUCCAACACUCACAGGAAAUAUCUGAUGCCUUCUCAUUUGAAUGUUCACAGAAAUCAUUGGAUUAAUAUUUGGCAUUAAAAUGAAGAUACGUCUAAUUGUUUUAGACUCCAAUAAUUAAUGUUCAUAUCUACAUGUUACAGAUCGCAAUAUGAAGUUUCUAAUUAUUUUAAGUUUGCAGUGACCUGUUUUAAGACAAAUUUUUCCUUAUAUCUAAUAUUUAAUCACUGAUAAAAUCCAGUAUAUUUGGCUUUAAGUGUGGAAUUAAGUCUCAGUGACGUAGGCAUAUUGCACGGUAUUGUUCCCUAAUGGUAGCGAAUGCAGAUUUGUAUUUUAAUACUGAAAUCCUGGUUGAUUUGCUGUUGUAGGGGUGCCCUGCCCCAUCUGGAAUAGAAUGGCCUAUGUUGGCUCAUACAAAAUGUCCGACACACAAAAAGACGCAACCUGCUUUAGAAUUAGAACACAAGAUGGCGGAGGAGAGAUAAACUAACAGUUUGUUCCAAUCUUGAUGAAAGAAAAUAAUCUUUUGUAAAAUCCUACUCCAAGUCCAUCAGUAUGCCAGUCCAGACAGUA